GCUUCAGCAGAGUGGGCUGUGAACAUCGAAGCCCAUGGUGACAGAUUGCUGAGGCUGUGCCGACAGGCUGACUAUAACUGAGCUACAGACCCACGUAGACUUGGAAAAAGUAUGCAGGGAUGAUAAAGGCAAUAUUCAUCAAUCAGGACCGAACUACUGAGAUUUUGCCACUGAACCAAAUAAAAUGGGAAGCCCCCAGGACUCCUUAAGUUAAGCAUUCUUACUCCAUAGUCAUACAACUCAGAGAAAAGCGAAUAUUCCUGACACAUUGAAUCACUGUUCAGUGUUGAACAACACAAACUUCUAGAUAUGAAGGCGAAGAAGUUGAAUUGAAGAAAUGAAGAAUAAUUUAUACUUAAAAAGAAGAAGAGACAGAAGGAAAAAAGAAGAAAAGAUAAGAGAGCAUAAACAACUGUGAGCAGGAUACAGAAA